rnacentral:rRNA from 1 species
AACGAACGCUGGCGGCAUGCCUAACACAUGCAAGUCGAACGAGAACUUCGGGCCUAGUGGCGCACGGGUGCGUAACGCGUGGGAACCUGCCCGUAGGUUAGGAAUAACUCCCCGUAAGGGGACCUAAUACCGGAUAAUGUCAUCGGACCAAGGAGUUAUGGCCUCUGGGUGGGCGCGCGUUGGAUUAGCUAGUUGGUAGUGUACAAGCCUGCCAAGGCGACGUUGCAUAGCUGGUCGGAGAGGAUGACAAGCUACACUGGGACUGAGACACGGCCCAGACUCCGACGGGAGGGAGCAGUGGGGAGUAUUAGGGGAGGGGCGAAAGCCUAGUCCAGCAGUGCCGCGUGAGUGGUGAAGGCCGUAGGGUUGUAAAGCUGUUUGUCCCGGGGUGAUAAUGACGGUACCGGGUGAAUAAGCACCGGCUAACUACGUG